AACGAACGCUGGCGGCGUGCUUAACACAUGCAAGUCGAACGAAGAGCGAUGGAAGCUUGCUUCUAUCAAUCUUAGUGGCGAACGGGUGAGUAACGCGUAAUCAACCUGCCCUUCAGAGGGGGACAACAGUUGGAAACGACUGCUAAUACCGCAUACGAUCUAAUCUCGGCAUCGAGGAUAGAUGAAAGGUGGCCUCUACAUGUAAGCUAUCACUGAAGGAGGGGAUUGCGUCUGAUUAGCUAGUUGGAGGGGUAACGGCCCACCAAGGCGAUGAUCAGUAGCCGGUCUGAGAGGAUGAACGGCCACAGUGGGACUGAGACACGGCCCAGACUCCUACGGGAGGCAGCAGUGGGGAAUCUUCCGCAAUGGACGAAAGUCUGACGGAGCAACGCCGCGUGAGUGAUGACGGCCUUCGGGUUGUAAAGCUCUGUUAAUCGGGACGAAAGGCCUUCUUGCGAAUAGUGAGAAGGAUUGACGGUACCGGAAUAGAAAGCCACGGCUAACUACGUG
rnacentral:rRNA from 1 species